CAGACACCUGGCCAUUAGCCCCAGUCCUACGCAGGGACUACACUGCGCAUGUUCAAAGGGGGCGUGUCAGGGGUGGGGCGAGACGGAGGGGCGGUGCCGAGGGGAGAGGCGGCGCAGAGGGAAGGAGCGGGGCGAGGAGAAGGGGCGGGGCGAGUACUGCUCCAAGAUAUGGCAACCGUGACAGCUUUGCGAGUAGCUCCAGGUCCCCUGCUGCUCCGUGAGAAAUCAAACUUCUGGCAAUGACGAAGCAUGAAGCCAGCAUCUCAGGGAGAGGGAAAUUAAUGUUAUGACUGGAUAAGACAAUUGUGAAGAAACUGCACUUCGAGGUUGUCUGUCUCCGUAUUCCGAUGGAAAAGGCUGGACUUUAGAAGCAUUGCUCGCUCCUUCAGUUUCUAACAAGCCAGUUCUUGGAGAUACUAGGAAGCCAAGAGUUUCCUCCAGGAAUGGAGAUUCCUUGGAAGUGAGGUUCACCUUGAGUCAAGAAAGACGAAUCACACACGGUCAAAGGCAAUUGCCCAGGGUCUCAAGAACAGAGCCAGAAAGAAGAGCUGGGGCCGGCGGGAUUGUGGGGGUCCUCUCUCCCACCUGAAAAGCUACAGCUGCCUGCCGAUCCUCUCAAGAGGAGACCUCUCUGGGCUCCAGCACCUAAAACAGACAAACCUGGGAGGAUGCUUCUCUCUUCUGUGUCACACGUGUCCUGGAGAAAACCCAUGUAUCUGAAUGACCAAAGAAAAGUAUGAGAAAAAGUGCAAAAUCUGUGCCAGGCCAUUCAGUGUCUGGCUGGGGCUCUGGGGUGCACAUGCAUUCCAAGAAGACUGAAGGGUGCCAAGCCUGCAGGAAAUGUCCAUCAGACCUGCCUCUCACACCUGGAGUAGGACUGCCCGUCCAGCUUCAUGAUGCAGAACUGUCUUUAAAAGGCGACUGCAGAUAUGGAGAGAGGGAAUUCUAACCCUGAUAGAACAUGACCAGCUGUCCUGCUGGGGAAAGCUGCAUCCACCAGUGACACGCUGCUCAAACUGGCCCAGGACACACUCUUACUACCUAAGGAAUAAGCCCCACAUUUGCUCUUUGUGGGUAAAAGGAGAGGGUGAGAGAGGAGGGGAGUGUCCGCACAGACAUGAGAAGCCUGCAGAUCCAGAUGACCCCUUGCUGAUCAGAAUAUGAAAGAUCGAUAUGCGGAAACAAUGACCCCGUAGCAGAUGAGCUUCUAGAGCAGGCUUCAACCAUGGGUCAUCUGGACCCACUGGUGGAGAAGUCUGCCCCCACUCUAUGUUGAUGGUCUGGGGGAUACCGUUACUGAGACAGAUUUAAUAAAUAAUCUCUACCUGUUGGCGAGAUCUGGAUGGUCACUUGUGCGAGACAGCAGUGUGCUCUCAUCAGCUUUCCACAGGGCAGGCUGCGGAAAUGGUGCUGAGAAGUCCUUUUGUAAAUUGAUUGUCCAUGGCUGCAGACUUACCAUCAAAUGGAAGAAGAUUCCAAGCUCUCAAAGAAAA
rnacentral:lncRNA from 1 species